GACGUAGGGUCCGAGCGUUGUCCGGAGUUACUGGGCGUAAAGCGCGCGCAGGCGGCUAUCCAAGUCAGUGGUGAAAGCCCGGAGCUCAACUCCGGAACUGCCAUUGAAACUGUUUAGCUUGAGGACGAGAGAGGUGAGUGGAAUUCCCAGUGUAGAGGUGAAAUUCGUAGAUAUUGGGAAGAACACCGGUGGCGAAGGCGGCUCACUGGCUCGUAUCUGACGCUCAGGCGCGAUAGCGUGGGGAUCAAAACAGG
rnacentral:rRNA from 1 species